CCAUCAAGCAGCACGCCAGCUGUCAGUUACUACUUUCUUUCAGCUAUACAGAGCAACCAACUAGCGUCUAACCCAGUUAUUGACACAUUUUGGUCAUGGACUUUUCCUGUGAUAUUAACCACAAGGAGUUGCGCAGCAAUCUGUAGAUGAAGUGCAUGAAUCCUUGGAAGCGGCAAUAAUGUGACCCAGGAAUGAAUAAAAAUGAAAUAGUAGCCUGGCUGUACAAUGGUUGGCGUGCUGGAUUUUUCUCUACAUUUGGCUGUACAAUGUGACCAAGGUUUUACCCAUUUACUUGAUGUAGCACAGAUGAAGAUGGUACGUGGGUGUGUCGAUUUCAUGGAUACCAGACCAGCAAUGUAUCCAGAUCCUACAAGAUUAUCUUUUCUAUACAGACAUCCACUUAGUAAUAUGAAUACCAUCAAUCAACCAAUUGCAAAAUUGGCCUGGAUUCUGGUUUCUGCACUUUAUUGUACCAGGCUGAGUGUUGAAGACACAGAAUAGCCAAUAUAGAAUAAUGCAACAUAAAGUCUUCUAGCUUUACCUUCUCUUGUAAACAUGAUCAGAGGGCAUUAAAGAUCCAGGAAUAAUGGGUGAAGCCCAAUACCUCUGCAAUUAUUUAGAUUUCUUCUUUACCAAUGUACAUUUAUAUUUAAUAAAAAAGAACCCGUCAGUAUUAAAAUAGA